AUGAACGCUGGCGGCGUGCCUAACACAUGCAAGUCGAGCGAUUCUCUUCGGAGAAGAGCGGCGGACGGGUGAGUAACGCGUGGGUAACCUGCCCUGUACACACGGAUAACAUACCGAAAGGUAUGCUAAUACGAGAUAAUAUGCUUUUAUCGCAUGGUAGAAGUAUCAAAGCUUUUGCGGUACAGGAUGGACCCGCGUCUGAUUAGCUAGUUGGUAAGGUAACGGCUUACCAAGGCGACGAUCAGUAGCCGACCUGAGAGGGUGAUCGGCCACAUUGGAACUGAGACACGGUCCAAACUCCUACGGGAGGCAGCAGUGGGGAAUAUUGCACAAUGGGCGAAAGCCUGAUGCAGCAACGCCGCGUGAGCGAUGAAGGCCUUCGGGUCGUAAAGUUCUGUCCUCAAGGAAGAUAAUGACGGUACUUGAGGAGGAAGCCCCGGCUAACUACGUG
rnacentral:rRNA from 1 species